rnacentral:tRNA from 1 species
UGGUCUAGCGGUCAGGACGCUAGCCUUGUAAUCCUGGGGUCCCGGGUUCAAUUCCCGG